AAAACCUCUAAUGAGACAUAUGAGUAUUGUUAGGCUUGGGCUUAGUGCUAGAUGGAAACCUGUAAAAUGGAUAAUAAUGGGUGAAUGGAAAUACAUCUUUUAAUUGAUAAAUGGUCACAGCACAACUAAAAGAUUAUGUUUGCCAAAAGU